UACGUAGGGGGCAAGCGUUGUCCGGAAUUAUUGGGCGUAAAGAGCGUGUAGGCGGCCAUGUAGGUCCGUUGUGAAAACUCGAGGCUCAACCUCGAGACGCCGAUGGAAACCAUGUGGCUAGAGUCCGGAAGAGGAGAGUGGAAUUCCUGGUGUAGCGGUGAAAUGCGCAGAUAUCAGGAAGAACACCCGUGGCUAAGGCGGCUCUCUAGUACGGUACUGACGCUGAGACGCGAAAGCGUGGGGAGCAAACAGG
rnacentral:rRNA from 1 species